rnacentral:rRNA from 1 species
CCUACGGGAGGCAGCAGUGGGGAAUAUUGCACAAUGGGGGAAACCCUGAUGCAGCGACGCCGCGUGAGUGAAGAAGUAUUUCGGUACGUAAAGCUCUAUCAGCAGGGAAGAAAAUGACGGUACCUGACUAAGAAGCCCCGGCUAACUACGUGCCAGCAGCCGCGGUAAUACGUAGGGGGCAAGCGUUAUCCGGAUUUACUGGGUGUAAAGGGAGCGUAGACGGCAGCGCAAGUCUGGAGUGAAAUCCCAUGGCUUAACCAUGGAACUGCUUUGGAAACUGUGCAGCUAGAGUGCAGGAGCGGUAAGCGGAAUUCCUGGUGUAGCGGUGAAAUGCGUAGAUAUUAGGAGGAACACCAGUGGCGAAGGCGGCUUACUGGACUGUAACUGACGUUGAGGCUCGAAAGCGUGGGGAGCAAACAGGAUUAGAUACCCCGGUAGUC